AAGAACCGCAUGGUUCUUGGCUGAAAGAUGGCGUAAGCUAUCGCUUUUGGAUGGACCCGCGGCGUAUUAGCUAGUUGGUGAGGUAACGGCUCACCAAGGCGAUGAUACGUAGCCGAACUGAGAGGUUGAUCGGCCACAUUGGGACUGAGACACGGCCCAAACUCCUACGGGAGGCAGCAGUAGGGAAUCUUCCACAAUGGACGCAAGUCUGAUGGAGCAACGCCGCGUGAGUGAAGAAGGCUUUCGGGUCGUAAAACUCUGUUGUUGGAGAAGAAUGGUCGGCAGAGUAACUGUUGUCGGCGUGACGGUAUCCAACCAGAAAGCCACGGCUAACUACGUGCCAGCAGCCGCGGUAAUACGUAGGUGGCAAGCGUUAUCCGGAUUUAUUGGGCGUAAAGCGAGCGCAGGCGGUUUUUUAAGUCUGAUGUGAAAGCCCUCGGCUUAACCGAGGAAGCGCAUCGGAAACUGGGAAACUUGAGUGCAGAAGAGGACAGUGGAACUCCAUGUGUAGCGGUGAAAUGCGUAGAUAUAUGGAAGAACACCAGUGGCGAAGGCGGCUGUCUGGUCUGUAACUGACGCUGAGGCUCGAAAGCAUGGGUAGCGAACAGGAUUAGAUACCCUGGUAGUCCAUGCC
rnacentral:rRNA from 1 species